CACGGAAGAGGAUUAAAUCUGGUUUUCAUUCUCUAGUUUCAUGAUGUGGAUGGAGAAGAGGAGGAGGAAAAAUAUAUGAACGACUUGUGUAUAAAUUGAUAACAGGCUUGAUUAUAGUUGAUAAACGUUGAAUUAGAAAUGAUAUAAUGUUUUAUUUGUAUUUCUAUAAUUCGAUCUUAAUAUUUAAUUGUUGAAAUUAUUAUCUAAUAUGUACAAGAAGUGCAUUGAGAUGAUUAUUUGAAUUGGAGUGAGCAUUGGUUGAAAAUGAAAAGUGAAUUUAAUUAUUAA